UACGUAGGGUCCAAGCAUUAUCCGGAAUUAUUGGGCGUAAAGAGCGUGUAGGUGUUCCUACAAGUCGGUCGUUAAAUCUCAGAGCUCAACUCUGAGGCCGCGAGCGAAACUGUAGGAAUUGAGGUUUACAGGGGCAAGCAGAAUUCUUGGAGUAGGGGUGAAAUCCGUUGAUACCAAGAGGAAUACCAAUGGCGAAGGCAGCUUGCUGGGUAAAACCUGACACUGAGACGCGAAAGCGUGGGGAGCAAACGGG
rnacentral:rRNA from 2 species